AGGCAGAGGCCCGAAAAACGGGUGGAGGGCCACCUUUACCACCUCUGACGGAGGCUGAGGAGCUGGCCCUCAGCCAAAACAGGGGUCGCCCUGUGGCUGAAGGCAUCCCCGGGGGAAGCUCAUCUGAGCCUGUCACCCCCCAGGACACAAGUCCCUACAUCAGAUGCAAGUAUACACUUAUGUCUUUAAAAAAAAUAAAACUAAUAUAUAAAUAUAUAUAGCCUACUUUUUAACAAAUAUAUAUCCACCCACCCAACAGUUGUGGAUGGUGUCAUCUGCCUGCUUCAGCCUCCGACAGAAACAAACCCUGUAGCUGUAAGUCUUCCAUACUCAGAUGCCUCAGAUGGUAGUUCAAAGUAUUCUGAAACAGUAUAUUUUCCUGCAUUACAGGAGGAGGAUGAGGAUGAGGAUGAGGAAACACUGUCUGCUGCCACAGGGAGAGAUCCAGAGGGGCUUCCUGAAGUGUGUCUUAAUAUAUAGCUACUGGCAGUGCCCAUUCAUUUACAUUCUAAAGGGGAAUUUGGAGUUUGACAUGUACAUUGAAUAGAUGAGCAUAAAUAAUGGACAAACUAGCUCAUUCUUGUCCUUCAACAGAACAUGGCUGGGCAUCACCAGGAGGAGGGUCCAUCAACCUCAACGGCACAGCUUGUCAAAGUGAGAUUUUCGGUCAAUACCAUGUUAAAUCUGUAUGUAGAACUAAAGGAAUUAAAUGUCGUCCAUGUUUCCCAGCUCCCGCCCGGUUAAGGAGUUAUACAGGGUGCACCUCAUGACAAGUAUAAAAAAAACGAAAAAGAAAUGGUCUAUCUGGAUCGGCAGAUUGCUAAAACAGACCUGGAAAUUCUAUUACUGGAACGCCAGUUGAGGUGGGUGCAUUGUCAUGGUGAAUAUGUGAAAUAUGUUAAUGGUUGGAACUACAUUACAAAUCCUGACUGUUGCUU